CCCUCGUCCUGCCCAUUCAUGCCUCUCUGCAGCAUCUCACUGGAGAUUCCGUGGAUUUUGAUGUCAGGAAGAUCUCUGGAGAACUUGCCAGCCAGGCAAAGUUUGCUGCUCAGGGCCUGGACUUUUCCGUAGUUGGCCCAGGAGCAAGUCAGGAGGUUAGAGUCCUACUUUCUGCUCUAAGCUCGGCGAAAGACACCCCGCUCCGCCACCCUCUGGGCUGUGGUUCCCUCAUCUGCAACGUGGCAGGGUUGUUCUACAUGGCUUCUGAGACUUCCUCUCCAGUCCCGAACCUGCAGAAGUUUUGAACCCUUUGGCCCCUCGGGUCCUCUGCCGCCUGUGGUCCUCCAGCUUUCCCGAAUCUUUUAGUAAAACUCCCGUGGACAGGUUCUGACUCAUCCACUCGCCUCAGGCCUUCAUUGGCUUUUCCACUUGGGCCCACAUGGAAGAGAGUUUGCAAAACUGCUGUUUUGGGACCGAAGGGAAUAUUCUGCUGUGAAAGAACGUUUUAUGGACUUCAUACAACUGGGACCUUCAACACCGUCACCACCCUUGAAGCAACUGGGGGGCGGGGUGCAGCCGAGUGGGGCUGGUGCACAGCUGUGGCGGACUCCUGGCAUUCUCCACUCCUGGCCAGGCAGCUCUGGAAUCUGGAACAGGACAGGACAUGGUGGGAGCUGCAGGUGGUCCUGAUGUCAUUAAGAGUGAAGAAGAGGUUGAGAGUUUUUGGCUAUCUGCACUCAAUGGGGGAUGUGAAGGAUUCAUUGCAUGGGCUUAUGAAUCUCCAGAUGGCCUCAAAUGUACCAUGUGACUGGGGACAACCUCAUUCUCCUUGUCUCCAUUUCCCAAGUGCUGGGAUCUCAGAUAUGCCUGCCUGCAGAGAUUUCAUAAUGCCCUCAACUCUAUGGAGGAGACCCAGAUGAUCUGUCUAGGACUUUCAGACAAAGGUCUCACUCUUGAGAAUGAUGGGAAAGAAAGGCAAGGAACACCGGCCCUUGGAUGACAGUAUGGAGGAGAGCCCUCAGCCUGCCUGGAAUGCAGAGGUUGUUUGAAGUGGCAAGGUAUGGCCGCUAAGGCCCUCCCGAAACAUCAUGUCAUCCUGGAAUGUGGGCUGAAGAGAACCUUUGACCUCUGAACUGGGGAGAAGAUGGAUAAUGGCUCGAAGAUCUCCCAGCUUCUCAACCUUUGUCAGUCUGAGAACACAAUCUGGCAGCUGAGUGAUGUGUGUUCGAGGCUGGACCCCAAGAAUGUGGGGCUUGUAUUCACGUCAACAUACAACAACCCAAAGAAAACAAAAAUAAAAGCAAAAUCCAAAAACCAAACCAAAACCCUACACACAAGGAAAAGAAAAAAAAAAAAACCCAAAAAACUCAUUGGGGUGUGGUGACAUACGUCUUUAAUCCCAGCACUUGGGAGGUAGAGGCAGGUGGAUUUCUGUGAGUUUGAGAACCCCCUGGUCUACAGAGUGAGUUUUAAGCCAGAGCUACAUAGUGAGUCUCUGUCCAAAGAAAGAGGACAAACAAACUCAAGUGCUGGGGGAUAUAGCUCAGUGGUAGAAUGCUCACCCCGUGUGCUGGUUAAUUUUAUGUCAACUUGACACAUGCUGGAGUUAUCUGAAAGGAGGGAGCCUCAACUGAGAAAAUGCCUCCGUAAGACCCAGCUGCAGGGAAUUCUUUAAAUUAGUGAUUGAUGAGGGAGGGCCUAGCUCAUUGUGGGUGGGGCCAUCCUUGGGUUGGUGGUCCUGGGUUCUAUUACAAAGCAGGCUGAACAAGCCACGAGGAGCAAGUCAGUAAGCAGUACCCUCCAUGUCCACUGUAUCAGAGUCUGCCUACAGGUUCCUGCCCUGUUUGAGUACCUGUCCUGAUUUCCUUUGAUGAUGAACAGUAACAUGAGGUGUAAGUUAAAUAAAUCUUUUCCUCCCCAAGUUGCUUUGGUCAUAGAGUUUCAUCACAGUGACAGUAAUCCUAACUAAGACACCUCGUAUGAACAAGGCAUUGGAUUUGAUUCCAAGUAAUGUGUGCGCGUACACACACACACACACACACACACACACACACACACACACUCCUCUACAUAGACACAAGGCCCAGAGGGACAAUGUAGAUAGGGAAACUAGAGUAGAAUUUAGCGUCAGGGAGACACAGGUUCAAAUCUCAACUUUUGUCUCUUACUGUUUAUAUGAACUUGAAUAAAUUUCUUCAGCUCUUUGAGCCUAAGUUUCCACUUUAAUAUUAUUUGAAAUUAAGGUAAUGAUACACUCUCACAGAGGUCUAGAGAAGAUUAAAUGACGUAAUUGGUGUUACCUGUUAUAUGCUUCCUGGAACAUAGCCUUUGCUUACAACACAACGCCUUCCUGCUUCUCCCAGUCUUGCUCCUGGCUGACUAUCAUACCUAUA
rnacentral:lncRNA from 1 species